GAAGAUCUUCGUUGGCUCCAAGCGGUUCUCCUACUCAUUUGUAGUUUGCUUGGUUGCCAGUGGGGUGGUGUAUCAGUGUCUGAUACCUCCAUAUCUUGCCAUAGGUAUGUGUUGUGUGCGAUGGGGGUGUCUAUUUGUAUCGGUCUCUCGGUUGUAAUCGGUGAUGGUUGCUUUAUAAUAUAAAGAAGUGGGAGGGGGCCUUUUUG
rnacentral:lncRNA from 1 species